GGAACACACGUGGCAGGGUUUUUCAUUAUUUGCUUUUCCAUGUCCUUCUAAUUAACAUCUGGAAAUAAUUCAGUAAUGCCAUAAAAUGAGGGUGUUGGGUGUCACGCAAAUACAGUUGAAUGACAUAGUUAGACAAAGGAUAGAACAUGGAUGUGAAGUGGGCAUCCAAACAUCAGCAAAAUUUGCUCAAUAAGUCAGAGAAAGCAAAAGAGGAUAGAUGAGGAAGAGAGAGAGAAGUAGGGAAUGUGCGAGAGGACAGGAGAGAGAGAGAAAGAGAGAGGGUAGAAGAGAGAGAAUGAGGAAAAGUGUGAGAGAGAGAGAAGAGAGACUGAGAAGGGGGAGAGAUAGAGAUGGGGAGAUAGGAGGGAAUGUGAGAGAGGAGAGGAGAGAGAGAGACCUGGAAUACAGCACAUAUGUAGACAUACCCCUGGUGGACUGAUGAAGACUGUAGUCAUGGAGCAGAGGGUGAGAACAAGGAGCAGAGGAAGAAGGCUGAGGAAAUACUGGAGAGCUGUGAACAUUUCAGAUUUCAUUUCCAACUCAAUGCAGCCUUCAUCCUGGCUCCUCGUCUUGCAAGUUAAUUUGACAGAAGUAAUGCCAUGGAAGCUUUCACAGCCUUUAUUCCAGACAACACUGCCAUCUGCUGGCGUUUGCUGUUGUGGCUUUCCAACAGCCCCAGCUUGUUUAAUCAGAGUGGAGGCAAAGACUCCGGUGUUGGACUCUCUCUAAACUGCAGGUAACAAAAGCAGGCCGUCCUCAACCCAGCCCCUUACUCAGCCCUAACAGGAAGCCUGCACUACAAAAACGCCAAUGGCAGAUAACCCCUCUGACACCGCAAUGCUGUUACAGCGUUUGCUGGGUUAUGUGCCUUCAGGGGAAACAGUCUCCAGGUUUAAUUCAGAGUAAAUGAUGGGGGUAAAUUUGAUGUGGGGUGCACCAGGCACACAUAUAUCCUGUCGGGGUAAUAAAGAGAUCCUACCUGUAUGAUUCUUAUGGGGGGGAACAGGGCCAAGCCAGAUGAAGGCUAUAAAUUUCCUGCCCAGGGGAAACCUAACAUCCACAUUAAAGCAUUUGGCCUUGCUGGAUAAAGCAGUGUGUGCAUUCUGCCAUAUGCUUGUUUUUUUAUUUUAAACAGUUUUCCUUAUGGUGUGCAUGAAAUAGGAGAAAAUAAAAUGUGUGACUAAAAGCAAA